rnacentral:tRNA from 1 species
GUUCCUGUAGUUGAAUACAACGUUGGUUUUUCAAGCCAUUAGUCCAGGUUAAAAUCCUGGCAAGAAUU